ensembl:lncRNA
CUGGUGGGGCUGCAUCAUGCAUGGAAGACAGAAGGGAUCUGUCUACACGUGCCUGCACCAAAAUCUUUCCAGAACUUUAUAAGAGCUUGCAGAUGGAUGUGACGGAUGGAGAGCUGAAUUGGGAUCUGUUGGGUCUAAUUGAGCCUUAAUUAUAAUACAUUAAACAAUUAAAAUAAUGAAGAUCGGGCACAAUCAAGUCUCAAAACAAAGAGAUUUAGCAAGAUUAGGCUUUUAAAACUGUACAGAUGAUGCCAUUAAUCUUGGAGGAGCUCCAACAUAAACGGUACAAUUCCCAGACAGCUGGGAGGACAGCAAACCAGAGGAAUGCAUUUAUGGCACUUUGUCAUCGGUGAGAAAAACCUGCUGUGUGAAGCUGGGCUCCCCCCGGAACCCCAGAGCUGAUGGAAGGAAGGUCCUGGAACCUGGGCACAAAGCAGCCUUAAGCUUUUUGUUGGAGGCAGAGCGAAGUGUGACAGCUGUAAUGGGAGAGUGGGUAAAUGUGACCAAAAGCCCGGCCUGAAGUUCACAGCGAAACUGAAGUGCUGCACCACUUUCAAGGAGGAGAAUUUGGGCCAAGGAUUCAGCGACGGACAUCUGAAGAACUCAGAAAAAAACAACAACCAAGGGAUGGGGAAAACAGAACAAAGGAAGAGACCGGCUCCCUUUCACAGCCACCUCCUUCUCUUACGGCUCCUCAGCAGACACGUGAGCGAGCUCCUGCGGGGUGGGUGCCACGCGCACUGAGAGCAGAGUGCUGCAGACCCGUGCUCCGAGCAGGCGGCAGACGGACAGGAGCAGCGCUGCCUGACUCCGGGCUGACCCAGGAACCCAAGAUUUUUGGCAUAGUGGUCUUGACCUCUCCUUUCUGUCCUGUCAGCUGUUAUUUCCCAGUGCCCUUGGAUAGGCUGAAUUUGCUCUUCCUCGCGGCCUUUAUAUAGUUCCCCCCUCCCCAUACUUCUGUUAGGCUUUUAGAUCUUUGGGCGAAUCUUGGAACUGCGGAUUAAAAUCCCACAUCUCAGCUUUUAUGAAAAGAUUUGCCGAGGUCUGGGUGUUGCUGGAAGCCUGAUAUUCUGCACCAUUUACUGGCUGUGAAUUAUGUAGAUACUCAUAUUUUUAAUUUCCUUUCAUUUAGUUGUGUGUGCAGGACCUCUGUCAUGACCAGCAGGGAACUCUCCUGGGUACAAAGAGGCUAUUCAGCUCCUGUGCCAACCCUGGCUCGUAAAAGCCUGACAGCUCUCAACAAACAAAGCCUAGAAAUGUUGCUAUUAAAAGCAUUUAUUGAAUAAAUCCAUAUGUGACAAAAUGA